UGGGGAAUUUUGCACAAUGGGGGAAACCCUGAUGCAGCGACGCCGCGUGAUUUAGAAGGCCUUCGGGUUGUAAAAAUCUUUUUUACGGGAUGAAAAUGACAGUACCGUAAGAAUAAGGUCCGGCUAAAUACGUGCCAGCAGCCGCGGUAAUACGUAUGGACCGAGCGUUGUCCGGAAUCAUUGGGCGUAAAGGGUACGUUGGCGGCCUAGUAAGUUAGAAGUUAAAGAAUAUAGCUCAACUAUAUAAAGCUUUUAAAACUGCUAGGCUUGAGAGAUGGAAGGGAAAGUGGAAUUCCUAGUGUAGCGGUGAAAUGCGCAGAUAUUAGGAAGAAUACCGGUGGCGAAGGCGACUUUCUGGUCAUCAUCUGACGCUGAGGUACGAAAGCGUGGGUAGCAAACAGG
rnacentral:rRNA from 1 species